GAGGCUUACAUCCUUGUGAUUCCUCAUGACUCGGAAGGAGGAGCGCGGGCCGUAGAGACGGAAGAGGAGGUUGAGACAACCAUGGCGCCUGCUGCAAUGACCACGGCCACUACAUGAAAAGAAAGACAACAAAAUCUAUUAGGCCUACUCAUGCUGGAUUGGGCUCAGCCCGAUUACAAAACAAUAGCAAAUGAGAGGAAUACAAGAAGUCAAGAAGACCCUUCUCUCCAUGUCUUAAGUUCCACACUACCUCGCCUGGAUCCGGAACUGCGGCUACAGUGACCUCGACAUAGUCUAGGUAGACACCCAGUGGUUAAGACUGUGUAGUGAGCCAUGCCUUUGUGAGAGGACCAAGAAAAGAAAGGCAUGUUGUACCUACCCUACAUUGACAGUCAUUAUUAGCCCAUUG